CCUACGGGUGGCAGCAGUGGGGAAUAUUGGACAAUGGGGGGAACCCUGAUCCAGCCAUGCCGCGUGUGUGAAGAAGGCCCUCGGGUUGUAAAGCACUUUCAGUGAGGAAGAACGCCUGGUGGUUAAUACCCAUCAGGAAAGACAUCACUCACAGAAGAAGCACCGGCUAACUCCGUGCCAGCAGCCGCGGUAAUACGGAGGGUGCGAGCGUUAAUCGGAAUUACUGGGCGUAAAGCGCGCGUAGGUGGCUUGAUAAGCCGGUGUGAAAGCCCCGGGCUCAACCUGGGAACGGCAUCCGGAACUGUCAAGCUAGAGUGCAGGAGAGGAAGGUAGAAUUCCCGGUGUAGCGGUGAAAUGCGUAGAGAUCGGGAGGAAUACCAGUGGCGAAGGCGGCCUUCUGGACUGACACUGACACUGAGGUGCGAAAGCGUGGGUAGCAAACAGGAUUAGAUACCCCAGUAGUC
rnacentral:rRNA from 1 species